CUUCCCAUUUUCAGUUAGUUUGCCUUAUGACACGGCCAGCCCUGUCAUCAUCACACACCCUAGCGCAUUGUACAAUCCAAGGCCUAGGGCACUUUCCAGUUGAAAAAGUGCCAAAAGUGGAAAGAAAAAGGGGGUGGGGAGUGCGUGAGAGGUGAUGUGACCUGAACACCGGAGUGGAUGGGCCACCUCUCUGCUCCUAAUCCUUUCCAAACUUCUAAGAGCCUUUCCUCCUGGAAGGGGUGGAGUGAGAGCUGAUGUCAAUUUAAUGGGUCACAACUGGGUGUCUCUCCCUUCCUGGAAGGCCUGGCAACACCUCUCCUACCAUUGUGAUUAGGAAGAAAGCAGUCACAAGGGUGAUUAUCUAAUCAGGGAAUUAGCCUUGGUUCAUGAGAACAUGUAUCCAGAGCACAAACAGAAACACCCAUUUGGAAAUGUCUGGAUUUGAUGAUGUCCAAGGUCCCUUCUUAACACGGAUAUCCUGUGAUCUCAGUGACAAGCAUAAAGAGGGAAAGAGGAACAAGUCACAAGAGAGUCCCAAAAGUUACAGCUUCUGAGAAAGAAACCAGAGGUCUGAGGAAAGGUAAGAUACUUUCAGUGGUAUGCCCAUAUUUUAUUGUUGACAUUUUUUACUGUGUACAUUUAUUGAUUUUACUCUUUAGACAUUCUUUACAUAUUUUAUUUAUUCUUA
rnacentral:lncRNA from 1 species